UACAGAGGGUGCAAGCGUUAAUCGGAAUUACUGGGCGUAAAGCGUGCGUAGACGGUUGCGUAAGUCAGAUGUGAAAGCCCCGGGCUCAACCUGGGAAUUGCAUUUGAGACUGCGUAGCUAGGGUGCGGAAGAGGGAAGCGGAAUUUCCGGUGUAGCGGUGAAAUGCGUAGAUAUCGGAAGGAACACCAGUGGCGAAAGCGGCUUCCUGGUCCAGCACCGACGUCAGGCACGAAAGCGUGGGGAGCAAACAG
rnacentral:rRNA from 1 species